rnacentral:rRNA from 1 species
UGGGGAAUAUUGCACAAUGGGGGAAACCCUGAUGCAGCCAUGCCGCGUGUGUGAAGAAGGCCUUCGGGUUGUAAAGCACUUUCAGCGAGGAGGAAAGGCUGGUAGCUAAUAACUGCCAACUGUGACGUUACUCGCAGAAGAAGCACCGGCUAACUCCGUGCCAGCAGCCGCGGUAAUACGGAGGGUGCAAGCGUUAAUCGGAAUUACUGGGCGUAAAGCGCACGCAGGCGGUUGGAUAAGUUAGAUGUGAAAGCCCCGGGCUCAACCUGGGAAUUGCAUUUAAAACUGUCCAGCUAGAGUGUGGUAGAGGGGGGUAGAAUUCCAGGUGUAGCGGUGAAAUGCGUAGAGAUCUGGAGGAAUACCGGUGGCGAAGGCGGCCCCCUGGACAAAGACUGACGCUCAGGUGCGAAAGCGUGGGGAGCAAACA